rnacentral:rRNA from 1 species
GACGAACGCUGGCGGCGUGCCUUACACAUGCAAGUCGAACGGCAGCACGGGUGCUUGCACCUGGUGGCGAGUGGCGAACGGGUGAGUAAUAUAUCGGAACGUACCUUAUUGUGGGGGAUAACGCAGCGAAAGCUGUGCUAAUACCGCAUAAUCCCUAAGGGGGAAAGCGGGGGACCGUAAGGCCUCGCGCAAUUAGAGCGGCCGAUACCUGAUUAGCUAGUUGGUGAGGUAAAGGCUCACCAAGGCAACGAUCAGUAGCUGGUCUGAGAGGACGAUCAGCCACACUGGGACUGAGACACGGCCCAGACUCCUACGGGAGGCAGCAGUGGGGAAUUUUGGACAAUGGGGGCAACCCUGAUCCAGCAAUGCCGCGUGAGUGAAGAAGGCCUUCGGGUUGUAAAGCUCUUUUGUCAGGGAAGAAACAGCAGCUCUAACACAGUAUGCGAAUGACGGUACCUGAAGAAUAAGCACCGGCUAACUACGUGUCAGCCGCCGCGGUAA